rnacentral:tRNA from 1 species
UUAGCUCAGUUGGUAGAGCGCCAGUUUUGUAAACUGGAUGUCGCGGGUUCGAUUCCUGCA